rnacentral:rRNA from 1 species
AACGAACGCUGGCGGCAGGCCUAACACAUGCAAGUCGAGCGAACCCUUCGGGGUUAGCGGCGGACGGGUUAGUAACGCGUGGGAAUAUACCCUUUGGUACGGAAUAGCCUCGGGAAACUGAGAGUAAUACCGUAUGUGCCCUUCGGGGGAAAGAUUUAUCGCCAAAGGAUUAGCCCGCGUUGGAUUAGAUAGUUGGUGGGGUAAUGGCCUACCAAGUCUACGAUCCAUAGCUGGUUUGAGAGGAUGAUCAGCAACACUGGGACUGAGACACGGCCCAGACUCCUACGGGAGGCAGCAGUGGGGAAUCUUAGACAAUGGGGGAAACCCUGAUCUAGCCAUGCCGCGUGAUCGAUGAAGGCCUUAGGGUUGUAAAGAUCUUUCAGAUGGGAAGAUAAUGACGGUACCAUCAGAAGAAGCCCCCGGCUAACUCCGUGCCAGCAGCCGCGGUAAUGUACAGUGU